rnacentral:misc_RNA from 1 species
GAUGAAGAACGCAGCGAAAUGUGAUACGUAAUGUGAAUUGCAGAAUUCAGUGAAUCAUCGAAUCUUUGAACGCAUAUUGCGCUCUCUGGUAUUCCGGAGAGCAUGCUUGUUUGAGUAUCAGUAAACACCUCAACUUCCAUAUCUUUUUUGAAAUGGGAGUUGGACUUGAGUGAUCCCAACGCUUUUCCUCACCGAAAAGUGGCGGGUUACUUGAAAUGCAGGUGCAGCUGGACUUUUCUCUGAGCUAUAAGCAUAUCUAUUUAGUCUGCCUAAAAAACAGAUUAUUACCUUUGCUGCAGCUAACAUAAAGGAGAUUAGUUCUUGUGCUGACUGAUGCAGGAUUCACAAAAACGGCUUCGGCCGACUUUGUAAACUCGAUCUCAAAUCAAGUAAGACUACCCGCUGAACUUAAGCAUAUCAAUAAGCGGAGGA